AAUCUUACUGUUCAAUAACUUUUGACUGCUAGUGUAGAUAUGUAUCAUUGCAUCUUUGUUUUGGAUAAUUAAAAAAAACAUCAGGUCUGACAAUAUCGUGUCUUUUCGAAUUUAAAUCUAGAUUUAUUCGCAUUGGCUCAUGGAAACCUCUAUGAACACACUUGACUUGACUUGGCCAAAAAAUCGCGGUGGACGAAUUUACGUUUUAUUAAAAAGUGUUUGUGUAUUCUGCACUAAUGUCGCGCGCACACAGGAUAGAUGCCUGCCUCCGCUGUGAGUCCGAAUCAAGCACUUCACCGAUUCAACCGCUCUCCUCUCCUCCUCCUCCUGGCUCUUUACGCCGCAUCACUCACAGCAGAGCAAGCCUGUUCUUGAUAAAGCUGCUGUGAAAACGUGGGAAAAGCCGACGAGGAAGAAGUUGGGGUGAAGCGAUCUUUAUAAGCGGAGCAAAACAUUUCAUGACUCCGUCUGUAGCGCAUUGUGAUUGGGUGGUUUACGCUGUCAAUACAGGAGACAAACCAAUGGACCACUGACUGCUCGCAGUCCCAGUGUGAUGGUCCUUGGUAAAAAAAAAAAAAAGUGCCUUGAAGUCAAGCAGGUUUUUAGGAAAAUGUUUGUAUGUAGUGAGUUGGAAUCAGUGUUUUUACUCAUAACCGCUGUAAACUGUGAAUUUGUUUGCUGUUAAAUGUGUGAGUUUAUUAUCUGAAAUAACAGUGUACUGAGCUGUUGCUGAAUGAUUUCUUCUUCAAAGAGGCUUCUUUGGACAUAAUGAUCUGAAGAUUCAUAAUAGAAACCUGUCUGAAUGACUUCUGUUGAUCUCUUUCAUAUUAUAUUACUUUCUGCUUAGUUCAUUUGUAGCUCAUUUUAUCGGUUACUGUCACAUUUUAUAUUAUCGUGUAGUGUCUUGUCUUUACAAGUAAGGUAUGCCUUUGCUUUCAUAAUUGUUGAAUUUAUGCUGGUCAAGGUCUGUGUAUUUAAAACUGGUUUUAUUUUGAUAUUUCAAUUUAUUUUGAAAAACAAUUAAAUUAACUUACAUGAUCUUUAAUAGCCUAUGUUAAUCUGAUGAAUGCCAAUAAAAAUAGGUCCGAUUUUCUCAUAGUGACUGGAAUUUGUGAGUUUGUCAUGAAAGGAUUGAGUUUGUAUACAGACUCCCCAGACAGCACACGUACGUCUGGCCGACGUCGGCCCAAUAUCGAAACGUCGGCCUCACUACCUGAAACAUCUAAUAAACAUCGGCCAGGCGUAGGUCGAUAUAAUUCGGUCAGUGCUCUGUUUUCCAGCUGUUGCGUUGAGCUCUGCGCGAGCGGGGAGCAGAGUUGCCAUGGAAACAGGGCUUUGACACAACUACUGGCGAACAGUAAUCUCGGUCUCGCGCUGCGGUUUCACUGAUUUCAGGAGGACAGAAAGAAACUCUACAUAACAGAAGGGAAGCUCCAAGAUCUCAACAUUUCUGAAGGGAGCUACUGACUUAGAAAUACAGAUUCUUCAGUGGUGAUGGCCUGCUGCACCCAGCAGAGUUGGAGUGAACCUACUGUCAGACAGUGGUGUACCGUGGGGUUUCAGUCAGGGCCUUCAGUAAGCAACUGUAAACUACAUGUACACAUUUUACACAUCUCUGUUACAGCUAACGUAGCCAUAUGCGUAAUGCACAUAUUAUGCCGCACACAGGCUCUCAACAACAGUGACUGCUGAUCAACAAUUUCAACAGUAGGCUAGAUUAGGGUGGGUUAAAUGCAGAGUAAAUUUUCCUACAUCAUGAUCAGUAAAAGUAAUCCGCCAAUACACAAGUCACUAUGCACAUUCACGUCACUCUAAAAUGACAACGUGCCCAAAGCAGCAAAACUGUACAAAUGCUGGACAUCCACACACCACACCACAGUAUUAUCAACGCACCAUGUACACCUCCAUAACAAUGUGCAUGAUACAAUACUCAUCAAAUAAUAAAGCACUCACCUGUCACUUGUAAAUAAAGCCCCUGGGUCUAUCAUUCCAUGCCUCUUU